GCAACGCAUUUUCUGAAGAUAUAGAACCUUGCCCUUUGCUCCUUAACAAGCUUACUGCAUCUCUGUCCAAAGGACCUGAAGGGGUCAAAGACUUGACCAUUGCAGCAGUUGGUGACUACUUUGUUCUUCAUCUCUCUCCUAAUAGUACUUCUAAUUCCUUGUGGUGGUUUGAUUUUGUUGUACCUCUCUCUGAACACUCUUGAGUGUUGAUUUUGCCAGAGUUUGGGCCUAUAAAAAAUUAUUGGUGAUAUUGAAGGACAAAUGAAUAAGAAGAAGGUGGAGUCUUA
rnacentral:lncRNA from 1 species